rnacentral:rRNA from 1 species
UACGUAGGGUGCGAGCGUUGCCCGGAUUUAUUGGGCGUAAAGGGCGCGUAGGCGGCUCGGCACGUCCGUUGUGAAAUCGCCCGGCUCAACUGGGCGGGGUCAGCGGAUACGGCCGAGCUUGAGCAAGCUAGGGGGCAAUGGAAUUCCCGGUGUAGUGGUGGAAUGCGUAGAUAUCGGGAGGAACACCAGUGGCGAAGGCGGUUGCCUGGAGCUUUGCUGACGCUGAUGCGCGAAAGCGUGGGUAGCAAACAGG